ensembl:snRNA U6 U6 spliceosomal RNA
GUGGGCAGCACAUAUACUAAAAUUGGAACGAUAAAUAGAAGAUUAGCAUAGCCGCUGUGCAAGGAUAACAUGCAAGUUCAUGAAGCAUUCCAUAGUUUU